UACGUAGGGUGCGAGCGUUGUCCGGAAUUAUUGGGCGUAAAGAGCUCGUAGGCGGUUUGUCGCGUCUGCUGUGAAAUCCCGAGGCUCAACCUCGGGCCUGCAGUUGGUACGGGCAGACUGGAGUGCGGUAGGGGAGAAUGGAACUCCUGGUGUAGCGGUGGAAUGCGCAGAUAUCAGGAAGAACACCGGUGGCGAAGGCGGUUCUCUGGGCCUUACCUGACGCUGAGGAGCGAAAGCGUGGGGAGCGAACAGG
rnacentral:rRNA from 1 species